rnacentral:tRNA from 1 species
GGGCCAGUAUCGCAAAGGAUAACGCUCCUGACUACGGUUCAGGAGAUUUCAGGUUCGAAUUCUGGCUGGCUCG